GACGAACGCUGGCGGCGUGCUUAACACAUGCAAGUCGAGCGGUAAGGCCCUUUCGGGGGUACACGAGCGGCGAACGGGUGAGUAACACGUGGGUGACCUGCCCUCAGCUCUGGGAUAAGCCUGGGAAACCGGGUCUAAUACUGGAUAUGACUCCAUGACGCAUGUUGUGGGGUGGAAAGCCUUGUGCGGCUGAGGAUGGGCCCGCGGCCUAUCAGCUUGUUGGUGGGGUGANGGCCUACCAAGGCGACGAUCCGUAACUGGUCUGAGAGGACGACCAGUCACACCGGAACUGAGACACGGUCCGGACUCCUACGGGAGGCAGCAGUGGGGAAUAUUGGACAAUGGGCGAAAGCCUGAUCCAGCGACGCCGCGUGGGUGAAGAAGGCCUGCGGGUUGUAAAGCCCUUUCAGUGGGGAAGAAAAGCCUCGACCUAACACGUCGGGGUCUUGACGUAACCCAUAGAAGAAGCACCGGCUAACUCUGUGCCAGCCGCCGC
rnacentral:rRNA from 1 species